GCCUCCUAAGAACGGCACAUGCCUUCGCCCUCCGGAGGCGAAAGCGCAGGUUCGAAUCCUGCCGGGGGCACCA
rnacentral:tRNA from 1 species